rnacentral:misc_RNA from 1 species
AUACAGCAAGCAGAUGCAGAG